rnacentral:rRNA from 1 species
UAGCGGAGGGAGCUAGCGUUGUUCGGAAUUACUGGGGCGUAAAGCGCACGGUAGGCGGCUUUGUAAAGUUAGAGGUGAAAGCCCGGGGCUCAACCCCUGGAAUUGCCUUUAAGACUGCAUCGCUUGAAUCCGGGAGAGGUGAGUGGAAUUCCGAGUGUAGAGGUGAAAUUCGUAAGAUAUUCGGAAGAACACCAGUGGGCGAAGGCGGC